rnacentral:rRNA from 1 species
UACGAAGGGGGCUAGCGUUGCUCGGAAUCACUGGGCGUAAAGCGCACGUAGGCGGAUUGUUAAGUCAGGGGUGAAAUCCUGGAGCUCAACUCCAGAACUGCCUUCGAUACUGGAGAGCUUGAGUCCGGGAGGAGGUGAGUGGAACUGCGAGUGUAGAGGUGAAAUUCGUAGAAUAUUCGCAAGAACACCAGUGGCGAAGGCGGCUCACUGGCCCGGUACUGACGCUGAGGUGCGAAAGCGUGGGGAGCAAACAGGAUUGAGAAACCCUA